rnacentral:rRNA from 1 species
GAUGAACGCUGGCGGCGUGCCUAAUACAUGCAAGUCGAGCGAACAGACGAGGAGCUUGCUCCUCUGACGUUAGCGGCGGACGGGUGAGUAACACGUGGAUAACCUACCUAUAAGACUGGGAUAACUUCGGGAAACCGGAGCUAAUACCGGAUAAUAUAUUGAACCGCAUGGUUCAAUAGUGGAAGACGGUUUUGCUGUCACUUAUAGAUGGAUCCGCGCCGCAUUAGCUAGUUGGUAAGGUAACGGCUUACCAAGGCAACGAUGCGUAGCCGUCCUGAGAGGGUGAUCGGCCACACUGGAACUGAGACACGGUCCAGACUCCUACGGGAGGCAGCAGUAGGGAAUCUUCCGCAAUGGGCGAAAGCUUGACGGAGCAACGCCGCGUGAGUGAUGAAGGUCUUCGGAUCGUAAAACUCUGUUAUUAGGGAAGAACAAAUGUGUAAGUAACUAUGCACGUCUUGACGGUACCUAAUCAGAAAGCCACGGCUAACUACGUG